AAAAAAAAAAACCUUGGUGAAUUUCUGAUGCUUGCAGUUUUAGCAGAAUGAAAUGAUUCCAUGUAAACAAGACUCUGCAUCUAAGAAGCUCAACAAGAUUGUAUAGGCCUUAUCAGGAAACCAUCUUCUUGACCUGCCUUCUGGUAUCCCUUCUAUCUCCUGAAGGGAUGCUGGAUCAAAUGAAGGGUCCAUAUCAACAUAUGGCAGCGGUUUUCAAACUUUUUCAUUCACAGAGAAAUUUUUCCACAUCAGUCUGUCUAUGGAGAAACACUGCCAAAGAUCCCAGGGCAUGUUCGAGCAGAGAGGAAUACCCAGAGCUUGGGGGAUGCUCUCCAUGCCUUUGAGGCUAUUCUGCUGCCUCACAGAAAACAAACCCAUGUCCAGAAUGUGCCCUGUGUGCCCUUCUAGUGUACACUGCUUGGCAAGUAAGCGGCAGUCGACAAACCAUCUCGAUGGGAACCUGUCCACCAUUACAGAUCUUCUUCUCCAGAAACUCUGAUGAAGGCUUUGAAGGAUGCAAGGGAACUCAGGAGCACAGUUUGAAAAGUCAUAGAAAUAUGUUGCUGAAUGUGACAACAUUGUGCAAGUACCUCUAAGAGUCAUGCAGUCCAUUAAACAUGGCACAGCUGACUGAGGAACCAUUAUGGGAAGAGAGACCUGACCCCUGGGACUCACACCCCUGGGAAGAUCCCUCAGGCCAAGCCUCUUGGACAUCAAUGAGUUUGCACAGAAGAGCUUCACAGUGAAUUGCGCUAAUUAUCGGUCAGGCAACCAAGAGUGCUUCAAAGCAAAGCAAUGGCUUUCAGCCAUCAACUACCUGUACUUCUUAAGAAUGGCCUUUGGUCAAUGUGUGGCUCUGAUGGACUCAUGGGAAAGCAAGAGAGGGGUGGCCGGAGGCU